rnacentral:lncRNA from 1 species
AAUUAAUAUUCUUGAGAUUAUAAUUUCAUGGACUAUAAUCCUUAAAUUAUAAUCCUUACAAACAAACAUAGCCCAGGUCUCAAACCUAACAUUUACACUAGGUUCGUUUACAAUAAAGUACACGCAAAUGAAAUUACAUAUUUCCACAUCUUUGUUCCUUACACAAUUUAACACUUGAUUACAUCAUACGUAUCUUAUAACAUUACAAAAAUUAGUAUAAACAUAGCAAAACUGCUACAUCAAUAUUAUCUAUCCUUAGACUUUACUAUUCCCUUCUCUUUAUCUUUAACUUCGGAUCUUUUUCGAUCUUUCGCCUUAUGUGAAAAUUUAAAUAGAAUGCAAGGGUGAGCAACUGAGCAUACCAAAUUUACUCAACAAGUUUAAAAGAUUUUAGAACAUAAGAACGAGUAUAAGUUUCAAUUAUAGAAUUAACAUCACACAUAAUGGUAAAACUGAUGAUUCAAAAAAAAAAAAAGAAUCAACAACAAUAACAUCACAAAAAUCUUGCUUUGGAUUUCAGAGUUUAUGGAAUUCAUCACAUCGUUAUUCACAAGGAUUUCAAUAUUUUUAGAGAGGUAACUGAGUGGUUGUAGGGACCAAGAAUUGAUUAUAAUGUUCAUCAGUCAAAGACUGAGAACUCUCUAGUGUGUUCAAUAAUCACAAAGAUUGUAAACUCUUUGAUAUGUUCAACAAUCAUAAAUAUUGUGAACUCUCCAUAAGGUAUUAUUAGGUGAUCAGUCUAACAUCAUCUCCAACUUAUGACUUCAUCAUAUCUGCACCGUAUUUUAACAGUGCGUCGAUGAUUUCAUCAUUUUUUCACCGUAAUUCAAUGAUAAUGGUCGAACACUCCCCUAUAUAGGGUUGUUCAACUCAGUUAAUACCAUCGGGAAUUCGCACCAAGAAAAAUUUGGUGCGGAGUAUUCAACUUAUCUUUAAGGAAUUUAUUGAAAUUCAAACGGUUAGUAAUCAUUCAAACAUGAACAAUUUGUUGACAGAAUUUAGCUGAAACAAAUGACAUCAACUCUUUAAUAUGCAUGUAUCUCCAUAGUACAAUUUCAACAAUUGAAAGAAUGCAAGAAACGCAUUACGAAGAAUUUAAAGAAUUCAAGAGAACUUGUUGAUUUAGCUGUUUAGUCUCGUAUCCUUUUUAUAUACUCAAUUUUGAGUCGGCUACAGUGUUAUGAAAUAUUAAUUCCCUCAUAAUAAUAUUAACAUUUGUCGGUUACUUCCCGUAAUUAUAUUUUAAUAUUAGUUACGCCUUUAAACCUAUUUUGAAGGUCACUUUCUAUCCAUUAUUGUAUUUCGACACUCAAAAAUUUAUUUUUCUGAAAACUUUAGUCUCAUGGCUUAGUUUUAACUUAUAUUCAUCAAUAAAUUUUUAUUACGCAAUUUUUUUGCUCACUUAAACAAUUUUUUAUUAAUUUUCCCGUUGUCCGAACCUUGCACAAGUCAUACUUGCCGAAUUAUUUUGGUCAAACUCUUUGUACUAGGGCUAGACAUACUCAUUUUAUAAUUCCUUUGAAAAUUUCAAAAAUUUUCCGAGUACGUUUAUUAAGUUGUUUCUGUUCAAAUUUUCAAUAAUCUUCAUAAUUAGAAAUUAAAUCCAAAAAUUAUUAAUUAUGGAUAAUAUUUUCCUUAAAUUAGAAUACACUUUCAUCUAAAAUUCCUUCAUUACACGUCCGUUUACGUUCAUUCAUGAGUUGAAAUACACUUUAUACUACCAGGUUUCAUACUUUAAAAGCACUGAUUUUUAUUUCCCUUGUAAACUAUCCAAUACCUUCUUUUGAAAAACUAGGUCAGAAAGUUACUUAAAUUGCCAUGUUUUGCUAGAAAAUUUAUCAAAAAUAAUUUACAAGGAAAUUAAGUCUCAAACAUGUGCAUGAUUUUAGCUGACUUACAAAGCUAUCAUUCCCAAUAAACCUUACUCAAAAAUUCGAAAUACACUAAAAGUUCUGAUCAUUACAAAAUCAGGCCCUGGUUUAGGAUUUUAUCCCUAUUUUGCUCAAAACUUCAAUAAAGUUUGUUUUAAAUUUUCUUUUCUUGUUGUUAGAAAUGGGUUUGGACAAAAUAAAUAUUUAAGCAUUUUGAGGCUUAAUUUAAUGUGGGACUCACACUUCGAAAAUAUCAAGUCUUUGCACCAAUGCGUUCUCCUUCGCGAGGAGUAUAACGUGAUAUAUUUAUGUGUUCAAAUCCAUUAAGAAUUGAAUGAGAAAAUUGACUCCAAAGUCACCUACUUGAAAUGUUGAAAAUUGUAAAAGUCCCACAUAGGACAAAAUGAAGAAUUUAUAUAUGGGAUGUUUGCUUAAUGGAAAGGGCCCCAAGGGGCAUCCCACUUUUGUGGAAGACAGAGGACCUAGCCAAGGCUUGGUUUGAACCCACACGCGCGCCGUCGUCUGGACGGGCGGGUUGGGUCGGAAUAUAUAAUUUUUUGGACAAAAUCUAUUUCAAAUUAUCAUCACGAUACUACGUCGUUUUGCCGAACAGUUGCACGCCAACAGUAAUAUCCCAACUAAUACACCGCAGAAUUAUUCUAUAAAUAAUCCAUCUGGGCGCGCAUUAUAACAAAAGUUUAAUUUUCCUAUUCUGUUUUCCUUCCCGUUUCUGCAAAAGUUCCCGUUUCGUUCUCUGCCAAAGUUUAGACAAACACUGUGCAGUAAGUUUUUUCUUUAUUCCUUCCCAGAUUUUCUUCAUGCAUCAUUACUAUUCAUUCCUUCCAGUUUAGUACAUAACAUAGAAUUGCGUUCAAAGUGUUCUUAAUUUUGAAGUGCUUCUAAUUAAGAACUGAAAAUCCGUUUAAUUUUGGGAAGCAAUUAUUCAAUUAAUCCUUUAACACAAGUGAGGAAAUAAAUUUGCUUUAAUGAGACUUUGUGAAUUCAAAGGACUCGAAUUUAUCUAUUUUAUAUUUCCAAAAAAUUCCAACUUCAAUUUUCAAGUAAGUCUAAUAUUUUUCAUUUUAUAAUUUUGUUCUGUUUUGCUCAACUAUAUAUAUAUAUAUAUAUAUAUAUAUAUAUAUAUAUAUAUAUANNNNNNNNNNNNNNNNNNNNNNNNNNNNNNNNNNNNNNNNNNNNNNNNNNNNNNNNNNNNNNNNNNNNNNNNNNNNNNNNNNNNNNNNNNNNNNNNNNNNAAUAGACAACAAGUUUUAGAUCAACAGCUGCAGCGGAAUAAGCAAACCAAUUAGAAGAGUCAAGUAGAGCAUAAAAUCUACUAUCUUCUAUGAUUUAAAAAGUUUUUCAUCAACUUUAUCGCUGAGACUCAGCUUAAUAAAUAAAAUCAAAUCAUCCCUGCACCACGGCCAAGGAUAUUCAUAUAAUCAUCAAUGGUCAUGAUUAUACCGAAUAAAAAACGUUGUCGAUAUAUAUGCAAAAACGUUAUCUAUUUAAAAAGGCAUUUUUUUAGUUUUAAAUAGAUAACAUUUUUUUUAAAAACGUUGUGUAUGUGAAAAACACGGAGCUUAAUUUAGGCGGAAGUGAAAACUUAGAAUUAAAAAUCCUAAAUAGUUCUUUCUCUCUCAAAAGUUUUCGUAUUUCAUCUCACACUUCUCUCUUUCUCUACUCCUAAACAGUCACGAAAACUAAGGUUCAAAUGGCCAAAACCAGAGGGGAUUCAGUAUCGUUCGUCAACCAGUUCAAAGGGAAGAAGGAUCGAUAGUGGCUCCCAAGCCUAACCGUCGUUCGAAUCGGCUUCGCCAGAGAUUGGGUACCGAUUUUGGGGUUUCUUCUCAGAGCAUGAAACAUAGAGGGAAAACAUCGGGUAAAACGAUUUUGUGUGCAGGAUAUUGAACCUAGCAGAACUGAUGCCUCCGUGGUGGUGUCGGACUUCGUUGAUGGCAUCGUGAAGGAGCAGAAGUAACAGAAAGCGGGUGGAGUGAAUGAUGAUGUGGAGAUGGAUCCGGAUGAGGUGGAGAUGAUGAAGAUGAUGGGGAUUCCGGUAGGGUUUGAUUCAACCAAGGGGAAGCCCGUGGCUGGUAAUGAUGCCUAGACAGUAUAUCAAUCGUUGAUUUUUAUUUCUCAGAGGUUAGGGUUUCUUCAUUUUUAUAUUUUCAUGUAUUCCCCCUUAUUAGCAAAUUAAUUAUAUUAUACUAUUUUUCCCCUUAAUAGAAAAUUAAUUGUUAGUGAUGGAUAUAUUGAGGAGGCAACAUUAGGAAUUUCAUUUAUUUACUCUACUAUUGGAAUUGCAAAUUUGAAAAAAGGGUUUUACAUUCAAUGGGUCUAUUGAGAGUAAUCUUCAUUCAAUGGGUCUCAUGUUUUCAAGUUCAGUCUGGUCGUCGAGGCUGGAAUAUUGCAUUGCUUUAAGCUAUAGUCACGAGUGUUGGUUUUUGCAUUUCGCCGAAACGUUUUAUGCUGAAUUAAUAUGCAAUAUUGUUAUUUAGUGAUACAGCAGUUUGCUACAUUAAGUAUAUUAUACUUUAAGUAUAUUAUAAACUUCCUACUGGAGUUUUGAGUUCUAAUUUGAUUAUAAUGCAGGUAUGAUUUUAAUAAAAUCCAACUUCUUUUCAUAAGUUUGCCUGUUUGCCCUUCUCUCGACAAGUUGGGAAAUUUCUUAUAAUGGAUACAAACUUGAAGAGUUUGUACCCCAGAAAACAUCUGCUUAUAUAAGCCAAAAUGAUCAACAUAUCCCUGAGAUGACUGUUAGGGAAACACUUGAUUUUUUAGCCCGCUUUCAGGGUAUUGGAAGUCGAGCAGGUAAUCCUGCUUUGAUCACAGAGAAACUACAAUUAGUUCGAAAUCUUUAUUAGUAUAUUCUAGUACUGGUAAUUGAUGUAAUUUUUUUUUUUACUUUCAUAUAGACGAUGAUUGAGGUCAGCAGAAGGGAGAAAGAGGCAGGAGUUGUUCCAGAUCCAGAUAUAGAUACUUACAUGAAGGUAUUAUCAUCUCUACUGUUCUUCCUGUCCAAACUUCUGGAGUUAUGAGACUGUCUCACAAUGGAUAGAAUCUGUCGUCCUUUAAACAAUUCAAAUUAAUCUAGUAUGAAUUACUGCUAUGUAGCCUUUGUUUCCUUACAGAUAUCCUGAAGGGACUUCUACUGUGGUUGUUUCAAGUAGAAUUAUUACUUGAUUGUUGGAAAUAUCUCAAGAAAUUAUUGUUGGGAACAUACAACUUGCAGCUGAAACAUAUGUGAAAUUAUUUCUUGCAGAUAACAAUUCUAUCAAACACAGGCCAACCAAAACUAAGAAAUUAACAUCCCAUGUGCUUCUUUGAAUGACCAUGAUACAGACUUGAAGAAAGAAUAAUCUUAAAACUAUGACUACUUGGCCAUCAGUAAAAUUACAUAAUACUUCUUCUGCCUUUAAAAUGAUUCAUCAAUAGUUAUGAUUUAUUAGUCAUCCUGGUCAGGAAAUGCGGUAAAGCUUAAUCUGAUACCCAAAUUGGAAGGCAACCUUAACUUUGAAGUAAUGCUUCAUGUACCAGAGAUGUAGAUACUCAAUGCUAAUGCUAGAUACCUGUAUCUAGCACACUGUUGACUUCAAUAGGUCUCUGCAGUGUUUUGCUAAUGCAAUAGCUUUGUCCAUCUGCUUGAAUGUGUUGCUUAAGUAUGAUUUCUUGAAUAAGUAAUGAUGGCCUUGCCAUGUGAGACAUGUCGCCUUAAGUUCUUAGGGAAGUUAGAAGUCAUUCUUAUAAAAGAAAGAAAGGGAAAAUAAACAUCCAUCUCCAGUGCAAGUUGAUUUCCUUAUCACGAGGUUAUUCACAGGAUCGUUGAUAAGCUCUGACUUAUCACCAAAAAAAAAAGAUUGUUGAUAAUCUCUAUGCUGUUGGGAAGCUCAAGUCUAAAGAUGCUUUAACUCUGCUAACAUUUUCAGGCAAUUUCUGUUGAAAGACAAAAGGAAACUCUUUAGAUUGAUUACAUUUUAAGAGUAAUUCUUUUCAGCUGAUCUCGAGCUUAAUUUCUUAUUUUGACAAUGCAUUAUCCAUUAAUAACCUUUGAGUUCUAGUUGUGAGUUCCAGUCUGUAAGAUAUUGCCAUUUUUCACAUGUCUUUGCAGAUUUUUGGUCUUGACAUAUGCGCUGACGUACUGGUUGGAGACGCAAUGAAAAGAGGCAUCUCUGGUGGCCAGAAGAAAAGAUUGACCACAUGUAGUUUGAAUUCAGUAAUGGCAGUUUUAGUAUUACUAAUGCGAUUUCCCAAUCAAAAAAAUGUCAUUUUUAACUUCAAUUAGUAGUAUAAAUGGUGAGAAAUAAAUAUAUUUCGUGUUGACUUUGUCCAUUUCUCCCACACAGCUGAAGCAUUCCAAAUACAUGCAUAUUUAACUUUGCAAUUGUGCCUACCGGCUUUUGUUUCUGCACUACUACCUGUUAUAUUUAAUCUUAAUGAUUUUUAUAACACUGUUAUAUUUAAUCUUAAUGAUAUUUAAUCAAUUUAGGUUUAUUUAAAAGCUACUAACAGAGAUGAUGUGCUAUAUUGUGUUGCUUUUGUUGAGACGCUGUCUCUAUGACAGUGAUGAUGAGGUCAGUUGUAUUUUUAUUUGAAGUCUAUAGUUUAUGAUUCUUAUACACUGUAGUGAUAUUUUAUACUUGUUUAGAAGUUGGUGCAUAAAUUGGAUCUUCUGGUUUGUUUUCCUUGUUCAUUAUGGUUUAUUCUUUUCACAUUCACAAGCUUAUCAUUUGAUUCAAAAUUUCAAGGAUUAUUGAAUAAAGAUUGAAACUUUAAGCAUUUUUCUUGGGUAGUUGGAUGUAUAGGCUCAUGUUAUCUUCUGACUAUUGCAGUGAAUUUUGGUGUAUUGUGAAAUUAUUGAAAAAAAGUCUUACUGACAUGCAGAAGGUAUUACUCAGCUAGGUACCUUAAGGUCCACUGUAUUAGAGGCUGAAUACUAUGUAGUUUGGACAUUGUCAAUAUGAGCACUACUCUAGUAUGUAAAUGUACUUCAUGAUAUUCAUACCGAAUAAUCCCUGGUCAUAAUCAUACCAAGUCCAUCUAUGCACGUAAGCCAAAGAUGAUUUUCAUCACAAUAUAAGCAUGAGGAUGAUGACAAUGACAUAAUAAUUCAAUAAAACAAGUUCAAUGAUAAAAUUUAAAGAUUUAUAAUUUAAUUUAUCCAGGAAUCAAUAAUGUCCAAAUUGUCAACAUGAUACUGCUUUGUGAGGUAAAAUUCAAGAAUGCUCAGAAGAAUAUUUCUAUGAAAAGAUACUGGAUGAAGCGUAAAUAUCCAAGAUAUUCUACUAAUUUCAUGGAGUAUAGAAGUCAAAACUUUAACCAACUGAGUAUAAUAGAAUAUAUGAAACUGCAAAUGAAUUUUCGCCCGCCAUGCGGUAAUCCACGUAGACAGAUCAUUUCCACAAUUUAAUAAGGAAUGAAUACGAAGGAUCAUUCACCAUGCAUGCGGUAAUCCACAUAGACAGGUUAUUCUAACAGAAUAAUAAAGAAUGGAAUAACAGAAGAAUUCACCAUGCAUUCGAUAGACCGCACAGACAUGUUAUUUUAAUAGAAUAAUAAAGAAUGAAACCAGAUCAUGCGUAAUCCGCACAGACAGGAUAUUCCAACAGAAUAAUAAAGAAUGAAAUAACAACAAUAUUCACCAGGCAUGCGAUAGACUGCACAGACAGGUUAUUCCAACAGAAUAAUAAAGAAUGAAAUAACAACAAAAUUCACCAGGCAUGCGAUAGACCGCACAGACAGGUUAUUCCAACAGAAUAAUAAAGAAUGGAAUAACAGAAGAAUUUUACCAUGUAUGCGGUACUUCGCAUAGACAUGUUAUUCCAACAUAAUAAUAAAGAAUGGAAUAACAACCCUUACGAGUAUUGAAAGAAAAUAACUCUCUUCAUGAAUACGAAAGAAUAAUACCCCUUACCUUAGAAGAAAACUGGAUACUGGAAUAGUGAGGUAGCAGACUUCUCUUCUUCUUUCUCUCUAUAAUUUCUCUCUAUAAUAAUUGCUCUAUAGCUUUAGUGAAUUGGUGAGAAAUGAAGGAAGAAUGAGCUUCUAUUUAUAGGAAAAUAUAGUUUCGAUAAUUGCACGUUUUGGGGCUCGAAAUAUUACAGUAUAAUACCUUCCUCUUUUUCUUCAUUUUUAAUUUAGUCCUGCAAGUAUUAUCAAACUUGCACCACCUCCCCUAAUAGUAAAUAAUGUGAAUCAAUAGUUCAAUCAUGUGAAUCAAUAGUUAUAAUCAUGUGAAAAUACGAAUUACAGUAUAGUACCUCCAUCUAUACCUCUAUUUUUAACUUAGUCAUGCAAGUAUUAUCAAUCUUGCACCAACUCCCCUAAUAGUAAAUCAUGUGAAUCAAUAGUACACACAUGUGAACACAUAGUUAUAAUCAUGUGAAUUAAUAACAAUUAAUUGCUCAUUUAUCCGGUACCCGAUUGGUCAACAUAACCUCCAGACAUCAAUUAUUAUCUAAAUAAAUGUCGAUUUCUACUAACACUAAUAAUUCCAACACAAUGAAACUAUCAAUUUCAUCUUUAAUCAACACAAACUUAUUCAUGAUUAAUAUUAUAACUCAUAAUAUUUAACAACCAGGUCGUUCCCAGGAAAGAGGGGGCUUUCCGAUAAGGAUUUCUCCCUAUUAGCGCGCAAUUAGAUUAUCUAACCUCUCCUUGACAGAACUUAUAGACAUUGUAAAUAUUGCAAUUUAAUAAUAUGAAUAACUUUGUCAUCUCAAUUAUUGAUUUAAUAAUAUAUCGUAUUAUGCAGAUGAUACUGUGAAAAUAAUUGAAUCAAUAAUAUGAAAGAUAUGAUGCGGCAAUUACUGCAGCAAUAAUUGAGUAUAACUGAGUGUCUUCUUACGUAAGCAUCAAUAAUCAAUACCGUGUGCUACUAUGCAACCACGCGUAUUACUGUACUUUUACUACCAGGUAGUUCAACAGUUUUAACGGUAACACUUUCGCUGUUAUUUUUAUAAAAAAAUAAUUCUGUCGUUUUCUAAAUACGACAAUACUUCCGUUGUGGAGUCCACCAAUGAUUGUGCCGUCGUACGGAUAUUCCCGACAAAAAGAAUAUUCCCCGACCAAACGAAUAUUUUAUAACAACUUGCAUACUUUGCAAAAUUUAUAAAUAUUACCCACAACUAUAACAUUAUAUCAAAUCCACACCAUAAUAUUCAAAAAUAUAUUUCAAAAAAAAUAUUCUUUAUUCAUAAAAGUUGGGGUCUUACAUAUAUAUUACGGAAUAACAAUCUUAAAGCAAAUUUAAUGAUUCUGUAAUUGUAGUAUUAUUUAAUCUGUUUAUUUAUGUGAACAGAAGAUCAGUUUUAAAACAAAUUUUCUAUAGAAAUAUAAUUAUGUAGAAACAGUAUUUAAACAGAAUAAAAUUACAUAGUAUUAUGUUAAUAUAAAGUAUUCUGUUAUUAUAUAUAUUACAGAAAUAUUAUAUAUAUUACAUGUUAACUGAUUUAUAUAUUCUGUUAUUAUAUAUGUUCCAUGUUAAUUGAAUGCAUUUUAAUAUUCUGUUAUUGUUUAAAUUUAUAUGAGUAGUACAGUAUUGUGUACUAUAGGAGUAAUAAAUCAAUAAAUGCAAAUUGCAAUAGCAUGUGAUUGUCAAAACUUAUCCAACUAUAGAAUGCAAAUCUAUUAAACAGAAAUUUAUAAACAGAAUUUGGAUUUCUGCUAAACAAAAUUUGUUGCUUGAAUUUUGCAAACAAAUUUUGUUGUUUGAAUUCUGUUAAAUUUUGUAAAACAGAAAAUUUUGUUUCUAUUUAUUCAUAAUUUUCUUCUUUGUAUAACAGAAAUGACAUCUACUAGUACCAUUCCUGCCGUGAGUAUGUCUCAUGGAGAAAAGACUGAAAAGUUCAAUGGAACUGAUUUCAAGCGUUGGCAACAAAAGAUGCUCUUCUAUCUCACAACAUUGAAUUUGGCAAGGUUUCUAAAAGAGGAUUGUCCUACUCUUGUUGAAGGAGAAACAGACAAAAAAAAAGUGGCUGCAGUUGAUGCAUGAAAAUAUGUAGAUUUCUUUUGUAGAAAUUAUGUGAUGAAUGGAUUAGAAAAUACACUGUAUAAUUUGUAUUGUACAAUUCAAAUUGCAAAGAAACUUUAGGAAUCUUUAGACAAGAAAUAUAAAACUGAAGAUGGUGACAUGAAAAAAUUCAUUGUUGGUAGAUUUCUUGACUAUAAAAUGGUAGAUUCUAAAGCAGUCAUCACUCAAGUUCAAGAAUUACAAGUAAUUCUACAUGAUAUUCAUUCUGAAGGAAUGUCAUUAAGUGACGCAUUCCAGGUUGCUACAAUGAUUGAGAAACUUCCACAAUCAUGGAAAGACUUCAAGAAUUAUCUUAAGCAUAAACGCAAAUAGAUGAAUCUUGAAGAACUGAUUGUGCGACUUAGGAUUGAAGAGGACAAUCGAGGAUCUGAGAAGAAGAUUGAAAAAAAUUUCAUUGAAGCAAAGGUUAAUGUGGUAGAACAAAGGUCAAAUAAUAACAACAAAAGGAAGCGUGAAGGCAAAGAUACUUUCAAGGCCAAGAAAAAAUUCAAAGACAAAUGCUUCAACUGUGGCAUUCCAGGACAUAAAUCAAAUGAAUGUUGCAAGCCAAAGAAAUUCAAGAAAGAACAAAAGACUCAAGCAAAUGUGACAGAACUGGAAAAACUUUCUGAAAAUAUUUUAGACAUUAAUAUCUCCGUAGUUGUAUCUGAGUGUAACUUAAUAGGAAACCCCAAAGAAUGGUGGGUGGACACUGGGGCUACUCGCCAUAUUUUUUCCAACAAAUGGAUGUUUUCUACCUACAAACCAGUAGAAAAUGAUGAGCAACUCUUCAUGGAAAACUCCUCAAGUUCAAAGGUUCAAGAACGUGGAAAGAUUGUACUGAAAAUGACAUCUGGCAAAGAACUGACUUUGAAUGAAGUGUUUCAUGUGCCAGAUAUCCGCAAAAAUUUAGUUUCUGGGUCACUACUUAGCAAGAAUGGCUUCAAAUUGGUGUUUGUGUCUAAUAAAUUUAUACUUACCAAAAAUGAUGUUUGUGGAAAAGGGCUAUAUGUUUGAUGAGCUCUUUAAGAUGAAUGUAAUGACUGUUGUACCAAAGUCUAUUGAUAAUAAUAAAAUUAAUUCUUCUGCUUACUUGUUAGAAUCUUCAAAUAUAUGACAUGCUAGAUUAGGACAUGUUAAUUAUAAUACAAUACGUAGAUUAAUUAAUUUAGAAUUCUUGCCUAAAUUUGAUAUUAAUCAAAAAAAUAAAUGUGAAAUUUGUGUGGAGUCAAAAAUGACAAGAUUACCUUUUCAUUCUGUUGAAAGAAAAAUUGAACCUCUAGAUUUAAUUCACACUGAUAUAUGUGACUUAAAGUUUGUGCAAACAAGAGGUGGAAAAAAAAUAUUCCGUUGCCUUUAUUGAUGAUUGCACAAGAUAUUGUUAUGUAUAUUUGCUGAGAAGCAAAGAUGAGGCUAUAGAAAUGUUUCAACUUUAUAAAAAUGAAGUUAAAAAUGAACUUAGCAAAAAGAUUAAAGCAAAAAGAAGCGAUAGAGGUGGUGAAUAUGAAUCACCAUUUGAAGAGAUAUGCUCUACUCAUGGUAUUAUUCACCAAACUGCCGCACCUUAUUCACCUCAAUCUAACGGUAUUGCUGAACGCAAGAAUCGAAAAUUGAAAGAAAUGUUGAAUGCUAUGUUAACUAGUUCUGGAGCACCCUAGAAUUUGUGGAGGGAAGCUUUGCUUUCUGCAAAUUAUAUUCUUAACAAAGUGCCUCAUAAGAAAACUCACAAAACACCUUAUAAAUUAUGGAAAGGUCAUAGACCUUGCUAUAAAUACUUAAGAGUGUGGGGGUGUGUAGCAAAAGUGAUGCUUACUAAACCUAAAAAGGUAAAGAUAGGACCAAAAAUAAUUGACUGUGAGUUCAUUGGUUAUGCAAAUAAAGUAGUGCUUAUCGUUUUCUAGUUCAUAAAUCUGAAAUUCCUGAUGUUCAUGUUAAUACUUUUGUUAAAUCAAGAGAUGCAUCGUUCUUUGAGAAUGUGUUUCCAUAUAAUAUAAAUAAAGAGUCAAAUUCAUACAAAAGACCUUUGGAUGCUACUAGUAAUAAUCCUGAAAAUAUAGACAAAAAGUCUAUAGUGGAUGAACCUAGACAUAACAAAUGGGCAAAGACUUCAAAGUCUUUUGGUCCAAAUUUUCAAAUAUUUUUGUUAGAAAACGAUCCUUAAACAUACAAGGAAGCAAUAUCCUCUCCAGAUGCUUCUCAUUGGAAAGAAACAAUUAAUAGUGAAAUUGAGUCCAUUAUGCACAAUUAUACAUGGGAAUUGGUGAAUCUUCCACCUGGUUCCAAACCCUUAGGAUAUAAAUGGAUAUUCAAAAAGAAGAUGAAAGUUGAUGGUUCAAUUGAUAAAUAUAAAGCAAGGCUUGUUUUUAAAAGCUAUAGACAAAAGGAAGGAUUGAAUUAUUUCGACACUUAUUCACUAGUUACAAGAAUUACAUCUAUUCGUAUGCUAAUAGCAAUAGCAUCAUUAAAUAGACUUGAAAUACAUCAAAUGGAUGUAAAAAAUGCAUUUUUAAAUGGUAAAUUAGAUGAAGAAAUAUAUAUAGAACAACCUGAAGGUUUCAUUGCUCCUGGACAAGAGAGGAAAGUAUGCAAACUUGUUAAAUCCUUGUAUGGAUUGAAACAAGCACCAAAACAAUGACAUGAGAAAUUUGAUAAUGUUAUAUUAACAAAUGGAUUUAAAAUCAAUGAGUGUGACAAAUGUGUUUAUGUCAAAAGCACUCAUAAGGAAUAUGUUAUUGUUUGUCUUUAUGUGGAUGAUAUGUUAAUCAUGGGUAGCAACAAUGAAGUUAUCAACUCUACCAAAUGUAUGUUGUCAAAUAAAUUUGAUAUGAAAGACUUGGGGGUUGCGAAAAUAAUAUUAGGAAUCAAGAUUUCCAGAAUAUCUGAUGAAAUUAUAUUAUCUCAAACUCAUUACAUUGAAAAAUACUUGAAAAAUUUAACAAGUAUAAUAUAAUUCUAAAUAAGAUCCCAGUUGAUAUAAAUCUUCAUUUAGCCAAAAAUAAAGGUGAUAGCAUAUCUCAACUAGAAUAUUCUCGUAUAAUAGGCAGUUUAAUGUAUGUCAUAAACUGUACUAGACCAGAUAUAUCUUAUUUGGUAAGUAAGCUAAGUCGGUAUAUGAGUAAUCCAGGUAAAGAUCACAGGAAAGCUAUUUUUAGAGUUUAGGGAUAUUUAAAACAUACUCAAAAUUAUGGACUGCACUAUACAAGAUAUCCAACAGUAUUGGAAGAAUAUAGUGAUGCUAAUUGGAUAUCUGAUAAUAAAGACUCAAAAUUCACAAGUGGAUAUGUCUUUACCCUUGGAGGUACAGCGGUAUCUUGGAAAUCCUCAAAACAAAUGUGUAUUGCAAGGUCUACAAUGGAAUCAAAAUUCAUUGCGUUAGACAAAGCUAGAGAAGAAGCAGAGUGGCUUCGCAAUUUCCUAGAGGAUAUUCCAAAUUGGUCAAGACCUGUGCCAGCUAUAUGUAUACACUGUGAUAGCCAAUCAGCAAUUGGAAGAGCACAUAGUCAUUUAUAUAACGGUAAGUCACGCCAUAUACGACGAAGACAUAAUACCGUUAGACAAUUGCUCUCAAAUGAAAUUAUCUCAAUUGACUAUGUAAAGUCAAAAGAUAAUAUUACAGAUUCGCUUACAAAAGGUUUAACAAGAGAGCAAGUGGAAAGUUCAUCGAAGGGAAUGGGUUUAAAGCCUAUUGUUUAAAUAAGAGUCGUCAUAGUGGCAACCCAACCUAGCUGACUGGAGAUCUCAAGAUCUAGGUUCAAUGGGCAAACCGAACUAUGUAGUACUGAGUAAAUCAUUGAGGAGAUAUUUACUCCUAACCAUUCCUAUUAUGAGACAGUGCACAUCUGCCGCGAGAACCAGGAUAAGUUACAUUUUUAAUGACUUUUAUAUCUUGAAAUACGUUCAAAUGGAGUAUUGCAGAAUACUUUUGAUAGAAUUUACCUACGUGAGUAAAAAGGGGGCCACUUCUAUGAGAAUUUGAAGGCUGAAUUCUCUAAUAUACUCACAGAACCAAGAGGUGUUUCAAGGCCAAAAUGAACACAAACGUGAGAACCAAUUAUAUCUGAAGAAAUAUUUUUUGAAUUCUAUUGUCUUGAUUUACACGAAAAAACUAACAGUUCAAAGACAUCAAGUCUACUGAUUAGCUUAGUAAAUCCGAUAGACUUUACUAGGGCAAGUUCAAAGCCACUAGGCUACUUAACCCGAUGAAGUAUCUUUUCUCAUGUACUCGAACUAGUAUCUGCAUAUUCAUAACAUUUAUUUAUUUUUCUCUUUUUUUCCAUGUUGUAAAGUCAAUUUUACAUUCAUGUGGGGGAUUGUUGGAAAUGAGUUUGGACAAAAUAAAUAUUUAAGCAUUUUGAGGCUUAAUUUAAUGUGGGACCCACACUUCGAAAAUGUCGGGUCUUUGCACUAAUGCGUUCUCCUUCGCGAGGAGUAUAACAUGGUAUAUUUAUGUGUUUAAAUCCAUUAAGAAUUGAAUGAGAAAAUUGACUCCAAAGUCACCUACUUGAAAUGUUAAAAAUUGUAAAAGUCCCACAUAGGGCAUUAGAGGAAAAAAUGAAGAAUUUAUAUAUAGGAUGUUUGCUCAAUGGAAAGGGCCCCAAGGGGCACCCCACUUUUGUGGAAAGCAGAUGACCUAGCCAAGGCUUAGUUCGAACCCACACGCGUGCGCCGCUGCCGUCCGGACGGGCGGAUUGGGACGUGAUAUAUAAUUUUUUGGACAAAAUCUGUUUAAAAUUAUCAUCACAAUACUACGUCGUUUUGACGAACAGUUGCACGCCAACGGUAAUAUCCCAACUGAUAAACCGCGAAAUUAUUCUAUAAAUAAUCCAUCUGGGCGCGCAUUAUAACAGAAGUUUAAUUUUCCCGUUUUGUUUUCCUUCCCUUUUCUGCAAAAUUUCCCGUUCCGCUCUCUGCCAAAGUUUAGACAAACACUGUGCAGUAAGUUUUUUCUUUAUUCCUUCCUAGUUUUUCUUCAUGCAUCAUUACUAUUCAUUCCUUCCAGUUCAGUACAUAACAUAGAAUUGCUUUCGAAGUGUUCUUAAUUUUGAAGUGCUUCUAAUUAAGAACUGGAAAUCCGUUUUAUCUUGGGAAACAAUUAUUCAAUUAAUCCUUUAGCACCAGUGAGAAAAUAAAUUUGCUUUAAGAAGACUUUAUGAAUUCAAAGGACUCGGAUUUAUCUAUUUUAUAUUUCCAAAAAAUUCUAACUUCAAUUUUCAAGAGUCUAAUAUUUUUCAUUUUAUAAUUCUAUUUUGUUUUACUUAACUUUUUGUUAUUAUAUAUAUAUAUAUAUAUAUAUAUAUAUAUAUAUAUGUGUAUAUAUAUAUAUAUUACAGAAUAACACUUGUUACUAUUAGGAUUUUUUUAUUUUCUUUGCCAUGGUCCAUGUUAUCACAUUCUAACAUGUUAUUAUUUACUUUUAGCAUAUACAAAUUCAUAUACAUACAUAUUUAAUCCAUAAAAUAUAUCUUAGGAAUUAGUUUAGGGUUUUAACUACUCUCGAAACUGUUUAAUUCAUAAUUAAUUUCUCUAGAACUCCGAUUGUGGUCCAAUUUUUGGCAGAACCUCCCCUAUAAUAUCAUUUUUCUCUACUUAGGAGUCCAGGGUCAGCCUUGCCCUCAAACUCCACCACAAACAAGCAAUUUAAAUUCUGCCAUGUUCAGAUCAGCCUACUUACGGAAUUCAUAAUUAGAAGAAUUCCCAAAUUCUCAGAAAACGUAGCUAACUUUCAUGUCUAUAACAUAUAAAAAAAUCAGAUUUUAUCUCCUUAUGGUUUAGGAGUUAUAACUUUCAUAAAAAUAGGACAGAAACUGCCUUGUUUUCUCUUUUUUAAGUUUUUCCAAGUUUGCUUGUUUUAUAUUUUUGAUUUCUCUUUCAUGAUCCAAGGUUACAUACCAUUAACAUCUUUACAUGUUAAAAGUUUCAAAGAUUUCAUAAGGAAAAAAUUUACAAAAUUUUCUAUGAAUGAAAAGUGAGUUAAUUUAGGGUUUACCUUACCUAGCUACUUUAGUUUUUCCUUUCUUCUUCUCCUCCUUGCGUCCUAACUUCAAACCUUCUCUUCUUUCUCUGUUUUGUGAGCGCUCUUCUCUCUCUCUCUUGUUUCAGCGGCGCUUGGUGAGGGGUGUGUAUGGGUUUAUUUUCAUUUUUCUUUUGGGAUAAGCUUUGAUCUCAAAAUAUCUUGGGAGGCUUAUUGGAGAAGCCUCCUCCCCCCUAUCCUUAUCGCUUGGCUGAAAUUUGUAUAGUAUCUCUAAUUCUUUCUC